UUCCGAUGUCAGUCGAUAGCAGCGACGCUACGGCGAAAAAACGAAACUCGCGCCGACAUCGAUCUACUCCGGUGGCGUGUUACAGAAAUUCUUUUUUUACGAACGAAUUAUUGAAAUAAACGCUCUACGCGUAAUGUCGGUGGUGCUGGUGCUUUGAAACAUAACGAACAACGUUUUGUGCAUGUUAUUUUAUAUAAUGUUACCUCGUUUAUGUGCUUAGUGUAAGUUACAAUAGCUAUCCGAUAAGUGUGUGAAGUGACUCAAAAAUCGAGAUUUUAACGCGUCUUGGAGAUCUGCCGAGUCGUGCAUGACUCCAGGCAGAGUGCAGAGUUACAGCUCGUAAAGGUCUAUUAACGCGUGUUCGCCGUGCCGCCGACGAUGGCCGACACAGACACCGAGCCGCUGGCCAACGGCACGGGCCCGCUGUCCGCGGAGGAGGAGGACGAGAGGCUCAAGCAGAGGCCCGCCGACAUCGACGCUGAUGUCCGCGAGAUGGAGCGGCGCAAGCGCGUGGAGGCGCUGAUGUCGUCGAAGCUGUUCCGCGAGGAGCUGGAGCGCGUGCUGGACCAGCAGAUGCACGAGGGGAACGACGCGCCGCUGCUGCAGCGGAUCCGGGAGAUGGUCGGCGGCCGGCUGCAUACUGGCAGCAUGAGGGGUCCGGCAUGCGUGCUGCCGAUCAACGACAUCCGCGGCAUUGAGGGCGUGGGCUACGAGAAGGGCGAGAAGAUCCUGCGCUGCAAGCUGGCCGCCGUCUACCGGCUCGUCGACCUCUUCGGGUGGACGCAGACGGGCAACCACGGGCAGAUCACGGCGCGGCUGAACACGGCGGUGGAGUCGGUGCUGACGACGCCGCGCGGGCUGCUGCCGCACGAGGUGACGGCGUCCUCGCUCGUCAAGGUCGACAUGCAGGGCGCCGUGCAGGACCAGGGCACCACCAACUUCCCCGUCAACGUCGAUGGGUUCUCGGUGCACGCGUGCGUGCACGCGGCCCGUCCGGACGUGCGGUGCGUGGUGCACGUGCGCGCGGCGUGCACGCUGGCCGUGUCGAGCACGCGGCGCGGCGUGCUGCCGCUGUCGCACGAGGCCGCGCUGCUCGGCGACGUCGCCUACCACGCCGUGCCGCCCGGGCAACUAGACAACAACGACCGGGACAAGCUCGUGCGAGCUUUGGGUCCUCACGCCAAGGUGCUGAUGCUGAGCGGCGCCGGGGCGCUGUGCUGCGGCGCCACCUUGGAGGAAGCCUUCCACCACGCCAGGAACCUGGCUGCCGCCUGCGAGAUACAGCUGCGGCUGGCUUCUCUGCCGCUGGAUGAGUUGACGCUGAUCGAUGAGGAGACUCGUCGACAGAUAUACGAGGCGUCCCGCAAGCCGCCGUCGGACGCGAGCAAGUGGCGCGUGGGCGGCGAGGAGUUCGAGGCUCUCAUGCGCAUGCUCGACAACGCCGGCUUCCGCACCGGAUACAUCUACAGACAUCCGCUCAUCAAGAACGACGUGCCCCGUCCCAAGAACGACGUGGAGGUUCCCCCGGCGGUGUCGUCGCUCGGCUACUUGCUGGAGGAGGAGGAACUCUACAAGCAGGGAUUGUGGAAGAAAGGUCAAGGCAAGACGGGCGAGCGCACUCGCUGGCUGAACUCUCCCAACGUGUACCAGAAGGUGGAGGUGCUGGAGACCGGCACUUCUGACCCGAAGAAGAUCACCAAGUGGGUGGAUGCUAACAACGAAGAGUGGGUGCAAGACGGUUCCCCCGCGCACUCCAGCACGCCGGUGAAGAUCGACACGCUGCAGUUUGUGCCCAAGAACACCAACCCUAAGGAGUUUAAGGCGUUGCAGCAACAGAUCAAGGAGAACCGUCGCGCGGACAAGAUCAGCGCGGGCCCGCAGUCGCACAUCCUGGAGGGGGUCACCUGGGACGAGGCCAGCAAGCUCAUCGGGGAGGACGCCGCCAACACGCACACCGGGGACCAUGUCCAGCAAGUGCUGAUGGGCGCGGCGUCGAAGGGCAUCAUCCAGCGCGGCUACCAGCACAACGCGGCCGUGUACAGCGCGCCGUACGCGCGCAACCCCUUCGACCACGUCACCGACACCGACAUCGACGAGUACCGCCGCACCGUCGAGCGGAAGCAGCGCUCCGACUACGACACGGACCUGUCGGAGUCGGAGGCGAUCAGCGCGGCGCAGAUCACGUCGCCCGCCAGCGCGCCCUCCGAGACCGAGGAGGAGUCGCGCGACGAGCACCGCGUACUAAGAAUAGAGACGAAACAGGCGCCGGUACGCAGCCAACCAGAGGUCGUACUCAGCGAUGUGGACACCACUGAUUUCUUGGCGGCCGAGCGAGCGCACACCGACCGGACGAAAGUAGAUCCGCCCCGGGAUCCGAACCUAUUGUCGGACGACGAGGUGUUCCUGGACUCGCCCGUGCCGCCGCCCAGCUCGCCGGAGCAGCCAGUCGUCAUCAGAGCGGCAGCAAAGCAGGCGACCGUCCUAUCAGACGACGAGCUAUACAAAACGCCUCCCAAGCCGGUCCCCGUGCACGCGCACCGUUUCGCAUCGCCGCAGCCUGUGCCCAGUCAGCCUAAUCUACCCAGUCAGCCCAGUCAGGUCACCCAGUCCAGUCAACCCGCAGUCAGAGGAGAGCACACACUGAACGGGGACCACUCUGACGCGCACCAGAGCACAUUCUCGCAUAGCAGUAAAGAGGGCUCCCCCUCAAAGGAGGUGUCGACCGAGGACUCUCCGAAGAAGGACAAGAAGAAGAAGAAGGGGCUCCGGACGCCUUCCUUCCUCAAGAAGAAGAAAGAGAAGAAGAAGUCCACCACGCCACAACCCGCCUAGAGGUACCACUAUACUUUUAUUUGAAUAUCUAGUGUAGUAAGAAGAAGGGGCUCCGGACGCCUUCCUUCCUCAAGAAGAAGAAAGAGAAGAAGAAGUCCACCACGCCACAACCCGCCUAGAGGUAAUCCCACAGAUGAUCACUGCCAUCUCGCUUUGAAUACUUGUAAUGUUUUUUGUAAUAAUUGUAAGGUCAGGUCGGUCAGCUGUCAGCUGUCAGCUUAUACAGCAUGGAGCGGUGGGCUGUACAUAUACUCUCGUGGAAAUACAACAUGCUGUAUACGAGGUGGGUUCGUUCUUUUAAACUUUGUUACAACUAUACAAAUACGGGAAAAAGACCUGACAGCGGGUUUUGAACUCCUGACAGUUGCGUUCAGAAAACUGCUGACAGUUGCGUUCAACGCGUUCAGUGCGUUCAAAUCCCACUUUUGGUUUUGAUUUCGAUAUUUGUGUAGUUGGUUUCGAAAAUGUAUAAAAAAUAUUAAAAAUGUGUUAAUUAAUUAUUGUAAUUUUCCUUAUUAUUAUAUAUUUGGGCAUUGAUAUAAAUUUAGUGAAACGAACUCAUCUCUAGUAUUAAGAUUUUUUUAUUAGAUUUUUGUUAAAAGUCGCUUAUGACCUACCAAUCCCCCUAUCUUUUUAGUACAAGCCUUUCAAAGGGGGGUAAACAGACAUACAUAUAUCAAUUUUAAAUUAUAAAUAAUCAUCGCGUUGUCAUAGUAACAUUGAUAUUAAAAAAGAACGAAAAAUAUGAUAUUACUUUAUGACUAAGAAUAAUCUGGUUACCAUGGUAACGCGAUUGUUUACACACAUCAUAAACAAUACAAAAUGAACGUUAAACACUUGAAAAUAAGGUGUAUUUCCGCACCUUUAAAGGAUUGUAAGCGGCUUUAAAUUCUGUACAAUUUUGUUAAAAGACCCCACCCACCGUCGUUCGAGGUUAUUGCCUUAGCAGCUGCAACACGAUAGAUGGCGCUCGUAUCGCAUACAGCAUUUUUUCGGCACGUAAUGAGCAUUUUUUGUGGAUUCUGCACUCGGCCGCGCGGUUUCGAGCGUGGCUUUGCGAGCGUCGAGCGUACGAGCGCUCUUAGAUAUAGUGAGACGCUAUAAAAAAGUUAAUAGUUUUAUGAAAACGCGUAAAUUCUUAUACAAUACAUAUAUAAUUUAUUUUCGAACAUUCACAACGUUUGCCUUGCCAACCUUACUUAUGUCAGUUUCGGAACUAUCUUUCUUAUGUUUUUUUUAAACUAUUUUUUAUCAUAGUCUCUGUAUUUGUGUUGUUUCAACUGAAGACGUCGGCUUCAAGGCAGCUCUUAAACCAGCGUUUACCGUGACCAAUGCAACAUUUCCUUCAUUAUUUGGCUUUAUAUAUUAACUACUAGCUAUGCCUUCGGUUUCAACAGCUCUGCUCAUCUCCUAUUGAUCGUAGCGCAAUGAUUCACCUUCCUCAAUAAACAAGCUAUCCAACACAAAAAGAAUUAUUAUUCGGACCAGUAGUUCCGAAGAUUAGCGCGUGCAUACAUUUUAUUGAUCAAUAUACGUAAUAUACACUUCUAUUGCUACUCAAUUUUACAUAAGUGGCCUUUGCAAUAGAAAUAUGAUUUUUAGAAAGUAAGUUUUUCCCAAUCUUAUGUCCAUAAAGUCAAAUUUAUUUCAAUUUAUCUGUCAGUCUGUCUGUCAGUGAAGCUAGGCGCUAUAAUAGGUCUCUAUAUGCAAAAACAUCUGUAAUACACUGCAAAUUUACCUCCAUAUGAGUAGAACAUAUGUCUCUAGACAUACAUACAUAGAUAAAUAUAUAAAAAAACUCCAAGUACAAGCACGCAGGCAGCUACCGCCGGCGUUUUCAGUUGAAACAAAACGCGACGUGGUGCAUCGUUAUACAAUAUUAUUAUUUCUAGACGGCAUAUAAUGCUUUCAUGUUUAUAGGGGGCGCUCUUGUCGAUCACCGUCUGCUACACCCGGUAACUAGCUGAUGUUUAAUGAUUACUUAAACUAUUCCUUAGUAACAAUUGCUAAGGACUGGGUUAAGUAAUCAUUAAAUGAUUCUGAGUACGGUAAUUAAAGACCUGUCUCCUUGAUUAAGUGUUCUUUAGCUUAACUGAUUAAUAAGAAUUUUGACAUAUAAAGUUAUUCUUCAGUUAAGACUUAUCUAGGAGUGGUCUUUUUAUGGUCGUUUCCCCAUAGUUGCCGGGUGCAGCAGCGUCCAGACAAAUACCCUCGCCAAUUUGUGCUUUUAAAUAAUUAUAAUAUCGAAAUAGAAUAUAUCUGUCAAAUAGGAUGCUCUGUCAUAUAUCUUACGACUGAACUUCACAAGGUUCGACACCGAUACUGCAAUAUUGACGUGACGCCAUGUUUGAUUUCCACACUGACAUUGACGCUGUCAAUGUCACUUUUGACAGAUAGCAAAAUAAGUUGAGUAGGUGGCGCCACUGUAUCCUUUGUGUCUUAUGAAGCCAGUGUCGGUCGUCUACCUCAAAAUUUUAUUAAAAUUAUUUUAGUUUAUGUAGCCAAGGUAAAUCGGAUCGUAUUAUUAAUUGUGUAGAGUAUAUUUUCUGUUGACUGACAGACCAUCCUAUAGCGUUGAUAUUAUAUUAAAUAUAAAAACAAAAAUAUAAUAUAUGUUAGCAUUUUAUGUGUAAGCGGGCUAGCCUACUUGUGUAGUUUUAACUUAUUUUUUUUCCUUUAUUUUUCUAUUUCGGACGUAAUAUAUGCAAGGGUUGUGUGACUUGGUCAUUUAUUUAUUAAAUUACGUAAUUUUAUAUGAAAAUGCAAGUUAUUGACGUGCUAACACUGCCUGUGGCGUGUGGGACAAUUUGACAAACAAUUUUUUUAUGAUUAUACGUAAAUUAAAGUUUCCUUUUUAAAAAUGUACACUUUUUAUUCCCAUGACCAAGUUUCACGAGCCGUUUUUUUUUUUUUAUAUAAAUCAGUACAUUACAUGUUGUUAAUUUAACUUGAAUUUAAAUUGUCUUAAUUUUUUUUUUAAUAAUAAACUCAAAAAUAUACAUUUUUUAUUUUCGUUUUAUGUCAAUCCCUGUUUUAUGUUCAAUUUGACAUUACCUAGAGUCCGUCUAGUGUUUGUAAAGAUGACAAGUUGAUUUGUUAACGGUUGCCUAGCAACGGGUUACUGGGGGCUUAGGGCCAAAUGAAGCGAGAAUACAUACAUUGAUGUCUUGCCAACAUGUAAGAUAUCAUUUGUACUUAUUUUGGUUGAGAUAAGUCAACCAGUAACUUGUUACUCAACCUAGUUGAUAAACAAUACUUGGGUGAGCAGAAAUGAUAAUUAAUUUUAACAUACAACCCAUACAUUUGACAUUAAAACUCUUAUUAUAACAUAAAUAUAUUAUAAAUGAAAUAUUUUUUUUUUUAGUUUUUAAUAUAUUUUUUUCCUUUUUGUACCCGGUCACAAAUCUUCGGGCGAUUAGAUGUAAGAAUAGCUUAACUACGUUAUGUUAAAAUUGUAUGUGUAUUUUUUAUUUCGUAAAAAUAUAUGCUAUUUGAAAAAAAACAACGUUUAUUAUGAA